ACUGAGGAUAAUGUCCGAUAGAUCAUUAUGCCUGGAAUGGUUUAUGGUCGAAACGAAUAUCGCCGUAGGAUGGGACUGCGAGCUAUCAGCUUGUUGGUGAGGUAAUGGCCCACCAAGGCAAUUACAGCUACGGGCUCUGAGAGGAGUAGCCCGGAGAUGGGUACUGAGACAAGGACCCAGGCCCUAUGGGGCGCAGCAGGCGAGAAAACUUUGCAAUGUGCGAAAGCCCGACAAGGUUAAUCUGAGUGGUUCCUGCUAAAGGAACCUUUUGUUAGUCCUAAAAACACUGAUGAAUAAGGGGUGGGCAAGUUCUGGUGUCAGCCGCCGCGGUAAAACCAGCACCUCAAGUGGUCAGGAUGAUUAUUGGGCCUAAAGCAUCCGUAGCCUGUUCUAUAAGUUUCCGGUUAAAUCCAUACGCUCAACGUAUGGGCUGCCGAAAAUACUGUAGAACUAGGGAGUGGGAGAGGUAGACGGUACUCGGUAGGAAGAGGUAAAAUUCUUUGAUCUAUUGAUGACCACCUGUGGCGAAGGCGGUCUACCAGAACACGUUCGACGGUGAGGGAUGAAAGCUGGGGGAGCAAACCGGAUUAGAUACCCGGGUAGUCCCAGCUGUAAACGAUGCAAACUAGGUGAUGCGUUGGCUUAUUGCUAGCGCAGUGCCUCAGGGAAGCCGUUAAGUUUGCCGCCUGGGAAGUACGUACGCAAGUAUGAAACUUAAAGGAAUUGGCGGGGGAGCACCACAAGGGGUGAAGCCUGCGGUUCAAUUGGAGUCAACGCCGG
rnacentral:rRNA from 1 species